UGCAGAAGGCUGUCUCCUGCAAGGACUAGUUGUCAAACCAAGGUACAGAGGACUUCCCACAGCAGAUGGUGAGAACCAGGGCAGAAGGAGGACUCCUGAAGCCUCCGAAGGAAGGAAAUCAUUACAGGGCCGACAGAAGUAGGUCAUGUGCUGCAGCUGCUCAUGGUUUAAGAGGAAGAAACAUGGGACCUCAAACCUGGAACACAACUCUUUCAAAAUGCUUGUGAGCCGCCCAAGAAAAACAUCCUCCCGAGGCUUAUCUAAUAACCGUGGUCUCUAAUCGUCUCAAUGUGUGCUCGGCUUUCCUUCGGAGUUUGCACCUACUUCCCAGAGCUAACGAGAUGCUGAGACAGAACACAGGGAAAUUUAAUGAAGGGGAUUUAAUAGUUUGUGUUAAAGCUAAUAUGGUCCAUUAGGAGCUGUCAUUUUUAUAAACAAUGAAGAUAUGUUACCUUCUUCUUUGGUGUCAAGUCAUUCCAUGCAGGACCUGUAAACAUUCAGUAAUGAUCUGCAGAACAUGCAUGAAAGACAAUUAAGACGCCACUUGAAAAGUCUGUUUUCCUCACAUAUUUGGUUUCUUGCUAAAUAAACUCAUAAAGAUCA